UACGGAGGGUGCAAGCGUUAUCCGGAUUCACUGGGUUUAAAGGGUGCGUAGGCGGGUAAGUAAGUCCGUGGUGAAAUCUCUGAGCUUAACUCAGAAACUGCCGUGGAUACUAUUUGCCUUGAAUAUUGUGGGAGGUGAGCGGAAUAUGUCAUGUAGCGGUGAAAUGCUUAGAUAUGACAUAGAACACCAAUUGCGAAGGCAGCUCACUACACAAUCAUUGACGCUGAGGCACGAAAGCGUGGGGAUCAAACAGG
rnacentral:rRNA from 1 species